UACAGAGGGUGCGAGCGUUAAUCGGAAUUACUGGGCGUAAAGCGUGCGCAGGCGGUUCGUUGUGUCGGUGGUGAAAUCCCCGGGCUUAACCUGGGAAUGGCCAUGGAAACUGGCGAACUGGAGUGCGGCAGAGGGGGGUGGAAUUCCGCGUGUAGCAGUGAAAUGCGUAGAGAUGCGGAGGAACACCGAUGGCGAAGGCAGCCCCCUGGGCUAGCACUGACGCUCAGGCACGAAAGCGUGGGGAGCAAACAGG
rnacentral:rRNA from 1 species